CAGCAAAUAGCAGGCCAUGAGAUUUUCAACGUGUUUCUGCGCUGCCAACUUUAUUUUGGCAGUGUCAUCAAAUGGACAAGGUCGUUGCGAUUUGUCAGACAAAGCAAUAAUGCUCUUUUUAUGCCGAAUGAGGCUCAGUAAGACGCUGGGCAAUCUAAUAUAAACUUCUGGAGUUUUCUUUCGAAUUAGGAAUUUGAGAUUUUAUUUUUCCUAGCAAGCCUUUACAUAUUAUUCACCAUGCCGGGAACGUGCCGACUACUCUGCGAAGGAAUCUAUGAGACAGGAGAAGAGUUUGGCUUUCUGAUUCAGAGCAAUAUACUGGUUGACGAAAAUUGGCAUAUUGCAGGUCUAGGGAAAUCUCCGAAGGACUAUCUGGUUUCUAUAGGAUAAAAGGAAUCUGCGUGGACGAGAAGAUAUGGUAAACCUCAUCCUGUCAGAUUUCCGCAUGUGGUCAAUUUUGAAGGCAUAAAUCUACUGGACAACCACGUCAGACUUCUCAACCAGUAUAUAUGGCUGUAGCCCCGUGUCUACUGGGAGGUGACUCCCACAGUGAAUUGAACGGCCCUACUUUGCGCCACCCAGGUGUUGUGUUAGGAGAACAUGAGGGUCUCUCAUUCCUGACAGGUGCUGUUCGUUUAAGCCACUAUUAAAC
rnacentral:sRNA from 1 species